rnacentral:rRNA from 1 species
GACGAACCGUGCGAACGUUGUUCGGAAUCACUGGGCUUAAAGGGCGCGUAGGCGGGCCCGCAAGUCAGGGGUGAAAUCCCACGGCUCAACCGUGGAAGUGCCUUUGAUACUGCGGGUCUGGAGGGAGGUAGGGGCGUGCGGAACUUCCGGUGGAGCGGUGAAAUGCGUAGAUAUCUGGAGGAACACCGGUGGCGAAGGCGACGUCCUGGACCGGUAUUGACGCUGAGGCGCGAAAGCCAGGGGAGCAAACGGG